UUUGUACUCCCUCCGUUCGAAAUUACUUGUCGUAGAAAUGGAUGUAUUUAGACAUAUUUUAGUUCUAGAUACAUCCAUUUUCGAGACAAGUAAUUCCGAACGGAGGGAGUAACUG
rnacentral:pre_miRNA from 1 species